rfam:Camelus ferus unplaced genomic scaffold scaffold803, whole genome shotgun sequence.
GAGGGUGGAGCUCAAGUGGUAGAGUGCAUGGUUAGCAUGCACGAAGUCCUGGGUUCAAUCCCCAGUACCUCCA